rnacentral:rRNA from 1 species
UACGUAGGGGGCUAGCGUUGUCCGGAUUUAUUGGGCGUAAAGAGCGUGUAGGCGGCCAGGUAGGUCUGCUGUGAAAACUCGAGGCUCAACCUCGAGACGUCGGCGGAAACCAUCUGGCUAGAGUCCGGAAGAGGAGAGUGGAAUUCCUGGUGUAGCGGUGAAAUGCGUAGAUAUCAGGAGGAACACCGGUGGCGAAGGCGUCCAUCUGGCCCGAUACUGACGCUGAGGCGCGAAAGCUAGGGGAGCGAACGGG